rnacentral:rRNA from 1 species
UUAAAGGAAUUGACGGAAGGGCACCACCAGACGUGGAGCCUGCGGCUUAAUUUGACUCAACGCGGGGAAUCUCACCAGGCCAGGACACCGGAAGGAUUGACAGAUUGAGAGCUCUUUCUUGAUUCGGUGGGUGGUGGUGCAUGGCCGUUCUUAGUUCGUGGGGUGACUUGUCUGCUUAAUUGCGAUAACGAACGAGAUCUUAUCCUGCUAACUAGUCGAAACCGGCAUCCCCUGUGCAGCCGGCGACCAACAAUCUUCUUAGAGGGACAGGCGGCUUCCAGCCGCACGAAGUGAGGCAAUAACAGGUCUGUAAUGCCCUUAGAUGUUCUGGGCAGCACGCGCGCUACACUGAAGGCAUCAACGUGUGUUUUCCUUGCCCGAGAGGGCCGGGUAACCCGUGGAAACUCCUUCGUGAUUGGGAUUGGGGCUUGAAAUUUUUCCCCACUAACGAGGAAUGCCUAGUAAGCGGGAAUCAUCACUUCCUGCUGAUUAUGUCCCUGCCCUUUGUACACACCGCCCGUCGCUACUACCGAUUGAAUACUUUAGUGAGGCCUUCGGACCAGCCCGCGGAACCCCUUUUCGGGGGUGCCGUAGGGUGGGGAAGAUGGCCGAACUUGAGUAUUUAGAGGAAGUAAAAGUCGUAACAAGGUUUCC